UGCGGGAGGCCUAACACAUGCAAGUCGAGGGGUAACGGAAGUAGCUUGCUACUAGACGACGACCGGCGCACGGGUGAGUAACGCGUAUGUAAUCUGCCUUGUACAGAGGGAUAGCCCAGAGAAAUUUGGAUUAAUACCUCAUAGUAUUACUGAAUCGCAUGAUUUGGUAAUUAAAGCUCCGGCGGUACAAGAUGAACAUGCGUGACAUUAGCUAGUUGGUGGGGUAAAGGCCUACCAAGGCGACGAUGGAUAGCCGACCUGAGAGGGUGAUCGGCCACACUGGAACUGAGACACGGUCCAGACUCCUACGGGAGGCAGCAGUGGGGAAUAUUGCACAAUGGGCGAAAGCCUGAUGCAGCAACGCCGCGUGAGCGAUGAAGGCCUUCGGGUCGUAAAGCUCUGUCCUAAAGGAAGAAUUUUGACGGUACUUUAGGAGGAAGCCCCGGCUAAUUACGUGCCAGCAGCCGCGGUAAUACGUAAGGGGCUAGCGUUAUCCG
rnacentral:rRNA from 1 species